CAUGUGUUCAACUGAAGUGUUUUUGAUGCCCUCGAUUUGACCUAACUUUGUAUUUUUUUAAAACAGCUUUGGAAUAAAGUUUGCCUUUUGUUUGAACCCAUAACUGCCUCCCUUUUUGCUGCACUUGGGCCCUAUUUCCCCAAACCCUGACAGUGUGUUGUUUUCCGAGAAGACUCUGAUGCCUUGUCAUCCCCUCCGUGCACUACGGAACAAUGGAGGAGGUAACGGAGUUUCUGCGCGGCAGAGGGGUCCCGGAGGAAAACAUAUUCCAAAUGGCAGAACAAAAGGUAUGGACAUGCCUGAAAGACACCGCUGCAUCACCAUUUUCUGCUUCUCCGAGGGUCCAGAAGAAUAUCCAAGAGGAAAAUGAAAACCUGAUUUUAUGAGAUUCAAGACCUAUAAAGUCCAAUAAAAUUAACUGAGAAACUACUUUUAUUGUGAAAAGAUCUGCACACUGAAUAGUUUUGUGGCCUAACAGGACCAUCAUUUGUUUGUGAAGUUGCACAUCAGACAAAGUGUGGUCAGCUGAUCAAAUGCACCUAUUUUGGUGCUAUCUCAACAUGGACUGUACAAUCGUGAGAUGAUUAUUUCUAUUUGCCUCGCUAUAUAAUCUUUACAAUACUUGUGUCUUUUACCACGGAAAACAAAUGUUGGCCAUCUGCAGUCAGAUUUGAAUGUGUAAUUUAACAUUUUCAGUAAGAAUAAAAGACAAAAAGGAGUACAAAUAUAAUGUAUUGAACCAGAAGUUAUCAUAGAUGAACUAUCAACAAGGUUUUAUAGAAAAAAAGGACAAGAUAGACAUAAGGUACAUGUCAGGGGGAGCGAAGCAUGCAGGACCCAAAAGCAGGAAGGAUACAGGGUUUAACUGAAAACACCUUUAUUUCAAGACCAAAACGAACAGAACUCUCUCCCUAAGGAAGGAAAAACAGAACUGAAAUACUAGAGGAGUGAUCACAAAGACAAGAUACAGGUGGGGAGGGAGUGAAAACACAGGGGCACCAGGUUAACACAAUUGGGUAAUCCAACAGGAGGGGACAGAGACAGGAAGAAGAAGCAGACAUAACUAGGGGAGUGCACACAUUUCAAAAUAAAACCAAGACAAAUUGUGACAGUACACUAUAUGUUAACCUAUUAAAUGUAUAAGUAAACACCUUUUGUCAAAUAGAGAGACAGAUUGGAACUGUGCAGGUGGUAACAGCUACUGUAUGCCCAGUAUGGGCUCAGGUUCUGUAGGUGCAGGUCUUCCUUCCUCAGGCCUGGUGCAGUCCUCAUCCUCCCAUAGAAAGACCUCUCCACCUCAGUCCUCU